GGGGACAUAGUUGAACGGGACAACGCUGCGUUCGCAACGCAGAGGUCCGGGUUCGAUUCCCGGUGUCUCCA
rnacentral:tRNA from 3 species